ACAGAAAGAACCAGGCUCCUUUCUGCACUUCUCUUCCACGUGGAUUCUUUCAGCCUGUUUUCAGCAUUGCCUGAUCUUUCCCAGCCAGCUUUGAUGAUCAGACAAGCUUCAAGUGCAUCAAUGGAGAAUAUGUUGGAUACUUCUUAAAACCGAUGCGCUAAGAUGUGAUAUCAGAAAUACAGUGCAAAACCAUUGGCUUUACCUGCCUAUACCUCUGCUCAAGCUGAUCCUAAAGGACGUACAGGAGGAGCAUUCAGAAGGAAGUAAAUGACUUCCUGCUACUGUAAGCUUUUCCUGGUUUCUGGAGAUUAUCCCUGCCUCUAAUCUUCUCUUCUUUUGCUGCUUUGGGAAUAAAGUAAACAGUUACACUAUCUGAAGCACUGGAGAUUAGCUGAAACUCCAUCCAGUGUCUGCCUCAAUGUACUUUGUCUAGUGUGUCUGUAAAGUGCCUUUAUCUGCAGGGUUUUAGAAACUGCUCGGGCUUUUUCAAAGCUGACAAAAUCGCAGGCCACUUCCAGAGGGCGGAACGGCUGCGCUGCA